rnacentral:rRNA from 1 species
AUGCAUAGAACAACUACCGUCAUCGACGACCCGGGUACCAGAAAUGCCAAGUACCCCUUCGAAUUGACGAGACCGGGAAGUUCGAAGACCUCAAGUACCUCUUGGAAACGACCGAGUACCACCACCGUCGACCCUCGAAGACCCCGUGGAUGUCAAGUUCCUCGUUGUGACCCCGAACACCUACGGAGUGUGUACAACUACGAAGCGAGAACGACUACUUCCACUACGACGGUCACGAGAACGUCUGCUUCCCCUACACCGCUCCAAACUUGUUCCGUUCCGAAAAGGCACGCUUCGAAGCUAUGCCUCUAA